UAGAGAAUCUUCGGCAAUGGACGAAAGUCUGACCGAGCAACGCCGCGUGAGUGAAGAAGGUUUUCGGAUCGUAAACUCUGUUGUUAGAGAAGAACAAGGGUGAGAGUAACUGUUCACCCCUUGACGGUAUCUAACCAGAAAGCCACGGCUAACUACGUGCCAG
rnacentral:rRNA from 1 species